UUCAAGCUCUGGAUCAGAAUAUGUGCCAGACUAUGAAGUUGAAAAACGAAACUUAUUACAGUCAAGCAAAAGCAGCUUGGAGAGCGAAUAUUCAGAGCAUGAAGAAUCUCUUUCUCACCUAAAAGCAAAGGGUGUAGCAGGAGUAAGAAGGUACAAUAGUUUUUGACAAAAAUAAAAUUUUAGAAAAAAAACUUCCUUAUGUUUAAUGUUUGUAAAUUAUGGCAGACUUUUCCCGGAGAUUGGGGAGGCCUCAAACUCAAUAAAUAAGAAUGUUCCAAUACCAGAGGAUCAUGGCUCGAUAGUCAAGUAUGGAAUAUUGAAAUCAGAACUAGAAUAUUUUUUACAUUUUUUUUUGUAGAACUGAUCAGGACGACAAUAAUACUUAUUGUGCUGAUAAACGUAUUGUCAAUUAUACUGAUUCUGAAACAUCUCAAUCAUAAGAAGAAAAAACCCCAAUGAAGGCGAAGACCAGGACUCGUAAGCAAAAAAGAAAUAUUAGACUUCGGAAAAGUAACUAAAGAAUAGAAAAGUAUCAAAAGGGGGAAAGCUAUAUAAACACCAAAGGAGAAUUAAAACCUGCAAAAAAGAUUGACGAAAAUAAAUAUUGCCCUGAAAGCUGCAAUUUCAGUGUAGAAAAAAAUUUUCACCUGAGCAAA